rnacentral:rRNA from 1 species
AAUGAACGCUGGCGGCAGGCCUAACACAUGCAAGUCGAACGGAUCCUUCGGGAUUAGUGGCGGACGGGUGAGUAACGCGUGGGAACAUACCCAAAGGUACGGAAUAGCCUCGGGAAACUGGGAGUAAUACCGUAUGUGCUCGAAAGAGGAAAGAUUUAUCGCCUUUGGAUUGGCCCGCGUUGGAUUAGGUAGUUGGUGGGGUAAUGGCCUAACAAGCGGACGAUGCAUAGCUGGUUUGAGAGGAUGAUAAGCCGCACUGGGACUGAGACACGGCCCAGACUCCUACGGGAGGCAGCAGUGGGGAAUCUUAGACAAUGGGGGAAACCCUGAUCUAGCCAUGCCGCGUGAUCGAUGAAGGCCUUAGGGUUGUAAAGAUCUUUCAGGUGGGAAGAUAAUGACUGCACCACCAGAAGAAGCCCCGGCUAACUCCGUGCCAGCAGCCGCUGUAA